GAUGAACGCUGGCGGCGUGCCUAAUACAUGCAAGUCGAGCGAACGGACGAGAAGCUUGCUUUUCUGAUGUUAGCGGCGGACGGGUGAGUAACACGUGGAUAACCUACCUAUAAGACUGGGAUAACUUCGGGAAACCGGAGCUAAUACCGGAUAAUCUUUUGAACCGCAUGGUUCAAAGGUGAAAGACGGUCUUGCUGUCACUUAUAGAUGGAUCCGCGCUGCAUUAGCUAGUUGGUAAGGUAACGGGUUACCAAGGCAACGAUGCAUAGCCGACGUGAGAGGGUGAUCGCCCACACUAGAACGGAGACACGGUCCAGACGCCUACGGGAGGCAGCAGUAGGGAAUCGGCCGCAAGGGUCGAAAGCCUGACGGAGCGACGCCGCGUGAGUGAUGAAGGUCUUCGGAUCGUAAAACUCUGUUAUGAGGGAAGAACAUAUGUGGAAGUUACUGUGCACAUCUUGACGGUACCUAAUCAGAAAGCCACGGCUAACUACGUG
rnacentral:rRNA from 1 species